UACAGGGGGUGCAAACGUUGCUCGGAAUCAUUGGGCGUAAAGGGCUCGUAGGCGGCCAACUAAGUCGGAUGUGAAAUCCCCAGGCUCAACCUGGGAACUGCAUCCGAUACUGGAUGGCUUGAAUUCGGGAGAGGGAUGCAGAAUUCCAGGUGUAGCGGUGAAAUGCGUAGAUAUCUGGAGGAAUACCGGUGGCGAAGGCGGCAUCCUGGACCGACAUUGACGCUGAGGAGCGAAAGCCAGGGGAGCAAACGGG
rnacentral:rRNA from 1 species